rnacentral:rRNA from 1 species
GACGAACGCUGGCGGCGUGCUUAACACAUGCAAGUCGAACGGAAAGGCCCUGCUUUUGUGCGUUUCUCGAUUGGCGAACACGUGAGUAACACGUGAGUAACCUGCCCUUGACUUUGGGGUAACUCCAGGAAACUGCGGCUCAUACCCGAUAGGAUCUCCUGCUGCAUGGUGUGCGUUGGAAAGUGUCGGCGUUGGGGUAUGGACUCGCGGCGUAUGAGCCAGUUGGUAGGGUAGGGGCGUACCAAGGCUAUGAUGGGGAGCCGACCUGAGAGGGUGAUCGGCCACACUGGAACUGAGACACGGGCCAGACUCCUACGGGAGGCAGCAGUAGGGAAUCUUCCGCAAUGGGCGAAAGCUUGACGGAGCAACGCCGCGUGAGUGAUGAAGGUCUUCGGAGCGUAAAACUCUGUUAUUAGGGAAGAACAAAUGUGUAAGUAACUAUGCACGUCUUGACGGUACCUAAUCAGAAAGCCACGGCUAACUACGUG